UUACGACCAUAUCACGUUGAAACACCGGUUCUCGUACGAUCACCGAAUUUAAGCAACGUCGAGCCUGGUCAGUACCUAGAUGGGUGACCGCUUGGGAAUACCAGGUGCUGUAAG